rnacentral:lncRNA from 1 species
AUGUCUUAUGGUUUACCUGUUUAUAAUCUUCAAAUUUAUGAUGUCGUCUUUUCUGAUCAUAUGCCUGUAUUGUUUGAAACUUCUCUUCCCUGUAAUAUCACUACCUGUGGCCUUCCUACUGCUUCUCGCAUGUUUAAACCAUCAAGUGCCGUCCAGUUUUCUACCGCCUUUAAUAAGGCCUUUAAUGUUGACUCAGAGCUCUCAGUCUGUGCCGACACUGAGGUGCUGACUGCAAAAUUCUUAUCUACUUGUCAAAUCAUUCUGGAUACUGUUGCUCCUCUGAAGGUCAGGCGGCCUAAAUUGAAGUCUGAGCCAUGGCUGAACGACAUCACUCGGGCUGCUCGAAGAGAGUGCAGAAAAGCAGAACGCAAAUGGGAAAAAGACAAGCUACAAGUGUCUUAUGAUAUCUUAAGAGAUAGCUGGCAUAAAUAUCAGAAAAUUGUCAAGAACCAGAAAUCCGCCUAUUUUGCAGGUGUUAUUAAUGACAACAGCCAUAAGCCCCGUGUUUUAUUUAGUAUUUUAAGCUCUGUUCUUAACCCUCCCCAAUCCAACUGUACAGAAGCUUCUGCUGAAACUUGUGAAGCUUUUUUAAAUUUCUUUGUGGAGAAGAUUUUAUCUAUUAGAGCACAUAUUUUACCCCAUUCUUAUGACCCUUCUGUUAUUUUUACGCCUUUAGCAAUUUUUAGCCAUUUUGAACCCGUGUCUCUAUCUAAACUGGGUAAAAUUGUCACCCAAAUCAAGUCUGGCUCUCCCACUGAUGUCCUUCCCCCUUGCUUUUUUAAAGAAGUUUGGGGCACUAUUGGACCUUAUAUUCUAAGGCUAAUAAACAGCAGCCUGACUUUAGGCCAUGUACCUGUAAUUUUUAAACAGGCAGUGGUCCAGCCUCUGCUGAGACGCCCUGGCUUGGAUGCCUCUUUGUUGUGUAAUUUCAGACCUAUUUCAAAGCUUCCUUUUGGUUCUGAAAUUUUAGAAAAAGAAGUGUGCUCACAGCUGCAGACUUUUUUAGAGAGUCAAAACAUUUUUGAGGUAUUUCAAUCUGGUUUUAAAGCACUUCACAGCACAGAGACUGCACUUUGA